UACAGAAUUUAAGCGCCAUGCACCUUCCUGAUACGGAAACAGACCGAUGAGGGUCUGAUAGGAAGGUUAACGAGGAGGAAAGUGAUCGAAAGAUUCGGCGGAUGCUUUCCCGCAGCUCCAGACUACGUGAUAUACUGAGUAAACCCAUGAGUGAUCAUGAAACAGAGGCAGUAUAAUCUGGACAA
rfam:Anaerostipes hadrus draft genome.